rnacentral:lncRNA from 1 species
AUGGCUAUCAGCGGCACUGAGGGUCUGGACAGCCAUCUGCAUGAACUUCUUCAGUUAUUCCGGUUGAAGCGCUUCAAGGAAGUCCAAGAGUUGACAUUCUUGAUGGAGAGUCUUGACAAGGAUGCAUCAAACCAAAGGAAGAGCACAGCAACUUUGCAGGGACUGCCAUGGUACAGGAAGGAAAAUCCUUUUACAUUGAUGAAGAGAUGUGAGCCAACAGAUCCUGGGGAGGACUUCAUCAAAGGAAUGGUGAUUGGAAUCAUUUUGGUUGUUGAAGAUGUGAAAGAGCCCCUUCCAGUUUCCUACAAUGAUGUUGCCAUUAUCAUUGAGGAAAAGAUUUUCAUGCGUCAUCUUGGUGAUGUACCCAACACUUUUGUGAACCUGAUGGGCCUGCUAUACAUGCUGAACCUUAACUGUCCAAAAGAGAUGAAAUAUACUUUUGAGGUGAUUCAGCACCUGUUCAUGAGAAUCGGGUCUGAGAUGUGCACUCCCAGGGUCCACUCUCUAAAGAAUAAACUGCCAUGAGCGAGUUUUCAAAUUUUCUUGCAAUUUGUCCAUUAUGUAGUAAGAGGAAAUAAAUGUAAAGCCUUUCUGUGGGUCACAACAGUUUAUGUUUUUAUGUUCUAACAGAUGUCUAUUGCUCUCUGUGGAGGAAAUGUCUCUUGCAGACAAUAAUUUGUAUUUUAUGUUGUAGAGCAAACAUGAACAGAGUGGAGAUUUCUGUAAUGUUUGAACGUGUUUAUUUUCUGGCUGACAUUUGAGCAAGUUACUCAGAGAUACAUUAUUUGUCUUUCUGCAGUUUACUGCAGCAACUCUGAACAUCCACAACAAUGGACUCAGUUGGAUUCGGAGAGUUAUUUAUUUUCCCCAAAGGAAGGCUGCACUUAUUUUUCUGUAUUAUAUUAUUAUUUGUGGAACAUUGUAAUUUCAGUUAGUAAGCAGCCCCAAGCAAAAGUGUGUUACGCCACACCUUGUAUUUCUCACGCAGAGACAUUACGAGGAUAACGCAACACAGAUUCAGACGCUCGCUGAAGUAUGUAACGUAAUGGUUACAGAAGAGGACAGCGGCUGUCACAUUUUAAAUGAUUUACAUUCACAGUAAGUCAUCUCACAUGUGCCCCCCCCCCCCAUUUUUUGUCACUUCUUUGUCAACUCCAUUGAUUUGCCAAGACAAUGACCCCGAUUUUCACUAUAUUAUUAUUAUUAUUUUUUUUUAUCAAAAUAAGAAUUUAAAGUUAAAACAGUCUAAGAUCUUUUUUGGUCUGAUGGUUAUUAUGACCUCGACACUAAUGCAAUUUUGGCCAUCGUACGUGGUCAGCCGUAGCUUUUGCGCCUGUUAUUAGCCCACUAUUAUUUUUUUAUAGCUAACAUUACACGUUGAAGAGGAUGCGGGGCUACUCUGCAGUUCUAUAUAAUAGACUUCUAUUAACCAGCAACCAACACCUACAAUAAACAACACUGACCAUUUUCUUUCUCUCUCUCUCUCUCUCUCACACACACACACACACACACACACACACACACACACACACACACACACACACACACACACACACACAAACAAACAAACAAACACAAACAAAUAAAUGCUGAAUUAAAUAAAUAUUAUUUUAUUUGUAAUAUGUGUCAUUUAUGAGAUCAGACACCCGUCCCCAUCAAACCCCUGCCGCCAUCGCGGCCACUGCCAAAAUCUCACUCUGAACUCAGUUCAAAACUUGAGAGCCCUGGAGAGUGUAAAGGCAACAUUUUGAACAUUUCCCAAGAAAGGUCUUUUUUUGAUGUGUCAAUUUAAAGCAAGGCUGGUUGAAGUUGGACUUGUUGGGGUUUUAAUAAAGGUCCUUAUUGAAUUGGAUUUCAUCUUACAUCUUUCAUCUCUUACAUUUUAUAUAAAUUUAUGUAGAUUUUUUGUAGAUAUUAGUUUGCUUACAUUUUUGAAUAUUUCAUUACAUUUUUUUUUCAAUUUCUGUAAACUC